rnacentral:rRNA from 2 species
UACGAAGGGGGCUAGCGUUGCUCGGAAUCACUGGGCGUAAAGCGCACGUAGGCGGAUUGCUAAGUCAGGGGUGAAAUCCUGGAGCUCAACUCCAGAACUGCCUUUGAUACUGGCGAUCUCGAGUCCGGGAGAGGUGAGUGGAACUGCGAGUGUAGAGGUGAAAUUCGUAGAUAUUCGCAAGAACACCAGUGGCGAAGGCGGCUCACUGGCCCGGUACUGACGCUGAGGUGCGAAAGCGUGGGGAGCAAACAGG